rnacentral:rRNA from 1 species
ACGCUCGACACCUACGGGGGCAGCAGUGGGGAAUAUUGCACAAUGGAGGAAACUCUGAUGCAGCGACGCCGCGUGAGCGAAGAAGUAUUUCGGUAUGUAAAGCUCUAUCAGCAGGGAAGAAAAAGGACGGUACCUGACUAAGAAGCUCCGGCUAAAUACGUGCCAACAGGCGGUAAUCUGAGCGGGCUGGCAAGGC